rnacentral:rRNA from 1 species
GGUCCAGACUCCUACGGGAGGCAGCAGUGAGGAAUAUUGGUCAAUGGGCGAGAGCCUGAACUAGCCAAGUCGCGUGAGGGAAUAAGGCCCUACGGGUCGUAAACCUCUUUUGCCGGGGAGCAAGGGCGGGGACGUGUCCCGGCCCGGAGAGUACCCGGAGAAAAAGCAUCGGCUAACUCCGUGCCAGCAGCCGCGGUAAUACGGAGGAUGCGAGCGUUAUCCGGAUUUAUUGGGUUUAAAGGGUGCGUAGGCGGGACCUUAAGUCAGCGGUAAAAUUGCGGUGCUCAACGCCGUAGAGCCGUUGAAACUGGGGUUCUUGAGUGAGCGAGAAGUAUGCGGAAUGCGUGGUGUAGCGGUGAAAUGCAUAGAUAUCACGCAGAACCCCGAUUGCGAAGGCAGCAUACCGGCGCUCAACUGACGCUGAGGCACGAAAGUGCGGGUAUCGAACAGGAUUAGAUACCCUUGUA